rnacentral:rRNA from 1 species
GCCUAAAGCGUCCGUAGCCGGCUUUGUAAGUUUUCGGUUAAAUCUAUAUGCUCAACAUAUAGGCUGCCGGGAAUACUGCAAAGCUAGGGAGUGGGAGAGGUAGACGGUACUCCGUAGGAAGGGGUAAAAUCCUUUGAUCUAUGGAUGACCACCUGUGGCGAAGGCGGUCUACCAGAACACGUCUGACGGUGAGGGAUGAAAGCUGGGGGAGCAAACCGGAUUAGAUACCCGGGUAGUCCCAGCUGUAAACUAUGCAAACUCAGUGAUGCAUUGGCUUGUGGCCAGUGCAGUGCCGCAGGGAAGCCGUUAAGUUUGCCGCCUGGGAAGUACGUACGCAAGUAUGAAACUUAAAGGAAUUGGCGGGGGAGCACCACAAGGGGUGAAGCCUGCGGUUCAAUUGGAGUCAACGCCAGAAAUCUUACCCGGAGAGACAGCAGAAUGAAGGUCAAGCUGAAGACUUUACCAGACAAGCUGAGAGGUGGUGCAUGGCCGUCGCCAGCUCGUGCCGUGAGAUGUCCUGUUAAGUCAGGUAACGAGCGAGAUCCCUGCCUCUAGUUGCCACCAUUACUCUCAGGAGUAGUGGGGCGAAUUAGCGGGACCGCCGCAGUUAAUGCGGAGGAAGGAAGGGGCCACGGCAGGUCAGUAUGCCCCGAA